CGGCCAAGUUCGGAUGCCCGGCCAAGUUCGGGUGCCCCAACUAAGUUCGGGAUGCUCUGUUGCGACAAUUCUAUGUUUGGUCUCCAUCUCCGACAAGACCCCGACCAAGCUCGGGAGGAAAGCACCGCUGAGCACCGCAUAGUCGACCGCGAGCUCAAGCUCCCUCGACCUCGCGCACGAUCCUCUAACCAAGCUCAGACACCUCAACCUAGUUCGAGAUGGCCUGCUACGACGACUUCAAGCUCUACCAAUGAUGUUCCAGCCAAGCUCGGGGAUACCUAGUCACAUUGG
rnacentral:lncRNA from 1 species